GUAUUUGGUACAUUGAACAUUCAAUUUUCUUAAAGAAAAUUGACUGGAUUUUAUAAGACAAAAAUAACUGGAAAAAAAACACAAAAGUGACAACUCACAAAACAAACACUGGCCACAAAAACCCAAUCCAAAGAAAAUCAGAAAAACAAAAUCCAAAAGAUAACGAAGCCCAUAAAAAACACAAAAAAAUAAAACGAAACGCGCAAAGACAUUUCCCCAGUCUGCAAAGUAGCUGGCACCCACUCCUUAGAAAAUAUCCAAACCCUCAAAACUUGUCGGUACUAGUUUCCAAAACCAGCAGCCUUCCAAAAUCAAAACCAUUUACUGCCCAUUCCUCUCCCCAAAGCCUAUCUCUUCCUCUUCUGUCAAUCCGGUUGCCUCCUCCUCCUCCUCCUCCUCCUCCAUAAUCCAUCAUCGACGACCACCAACACACUUCCAAUUAGAGGCCCAGAUAGGUUCCCAAAAGCAACGCCUGAAGGCAAGCAUAUCCUUCCGCUACAAACGGCAAUGCGAUCUCCUUGUGCAAUGUCUAUUUUGAAGCCAAAAUCUCACCUUGAGAGUUACGAACAACCAUUCUCGAUCCAAAUUUCGCCAAACUUUGAUUAUAAGCCGCAUCAAAAUUAACCGACAAGUAAAUGUUGGAAAGCUUUGACUAUUUCAUUUUAUAAUAUUAUAUUUAGAAAUCACUGUACAUAUAAUAUAAAUGGAGAAAAUAAAUAUUUGACGUGUAAA